CCAUCGGUGGUUCAGUGGUAGAAUGCUCGCCUGCCUCGCGGUCGGCCCGGGUUCGAUUCCCGGCCGAUGCU
rnacentral:tRNA from 1 species